rnacentral:rRNA from 1 species
ACUCCUACGGGAGGCAGCAGUUAGGAAUAUUCGGCAAUGGGGGAAGCCAUCGACGAGCGACACUGCGUGAAGGAGGAAGGCCUUAGGGUUGUAAACUUCUGAACGAGAGACGAUAAUGACGGUAUCUCGGUAAUAGCACCGGCUAACUCCGUGCCAGCAGCCGCGGUAAUACGGAGGGUGCGAGCGUUAUCCGGGAAUCACUGGGCGUAAAGGGCGCGUAGGCGGUUACAUAAGUCCGAUGUUAAAGCGUAGGGCUCAACCCUAUAAAGGCGUUGGAUACUGUGAAACUAGACUUCUGGAGAGGUAAGUGGAAUUACCAGAGUAGCGGUGAAAUGCGUAGAUACUGGUAGGAACACCCAUAGCGAAGGCAGCUUACUGGACAGAGAGUGACGCUGAGGCGCGAAAGUGUGGGGAGCAAACCGGAUUAGAUACCCUGGUAGGUCAGU